GAAAUGCGAUAAGUAGUGUGAAUUGCAGAAUUCAGUGAAUCAUCGGAUCUUUGAACGCACAUUGCGCCCCUUGGUAUUCCAUGGGGCAUGCCUGUUCGAGCGUCAUCUACACCCUCAAGCACUGCUUGGUGUUGGGCGUCUUUGUCCCGCCUCCGCGCGCGGACUCGCCCCAAAUUCAUUGGCAGCGGUCCUUGCCUCCUCUCGCGCAGCACAUUGCGCUUCUCGAGGUGUUGCGGCCCGCGUCCAGAAAGCAAUCGUUACCGUCUUUGACCUCGGAUCAGGUAGGGAUACCCGCUGAACUUAAGC
rnacentral:misc_RNA from 1 species